ensembl:lncRNA
AUCAAACAUUAUUCAGCUUUAAAUAUUGUUCAGCUUUAAAGUUACUGUGCAACUGUGUAAUAAAAAUGUGCUCACGACUUUGGCCUUGAGAGCGAUAAGAAGCGAUCGCCUCAUUCUGCAGGUGCAAGAUAUCUGCAAGCGAAGAGACUAGAACACCCAAGGCCGCUUUCCUUUUAUGGAGUUGUUUUUCUGCUAAUGCAGCACUGUCCUCACAACCCCCUCCUGUAAGUUUUAGAGAAUAUAUACCCAUCCUCACAGCAAAUAUUGGGAAUCUCCUGAUGUGAGCUGUGUUGAGAGGUUGUCUCUGUCACAAUAAAAGUUCACUGAUUCCCCAUCUGCAGCAGGUGUCCGGUUGUCUUCAUUCUCCGCCAGCCUGGUUAAGUCAAUUCCUCCUUAACAUCUAAAAGAACCUAUUUAAUGAAGGAAGACGGGUUCACUUUGUGUUUAAUAUUAUUCUAUUGCUGUUGUUGUUUUUUUUAUAUCCUUCAGUAGGCGGUGGGUGGAGUGUCUUGCCCAAGGACACAACGACCGAGACUGUCCAAGCUGGGGCUCAAACCGGCAACCUUCCGAUUACAAGACUAACUGCCGACUCUUGAGCCAACAUCGUCACCUCUGCUGGCAAAGGCCUUACUCUUCUCCUCUUUCCUCAAACGCCGACCGCAGUGCUCAGAGGAAGAGGUGUUUGAGGUAGAAAAAGCCAAAGACGAAAAGGCAGACAAAUAGGAUAAAGUAAAUAGUUAAUAGUUACACCCUUUUUACACACGCUCUUUUCUACUCUGUAAUAUUCUUGACAAUUUUCUUGAUAUUUAUUUAUAAUCCCCUCUGUUAAUCCUUGAUAUUUAUAAUUGAGUGAUCUGUAUAUAUUAGUGCUGUUUCUUAAAUCUGUAACAUAAUGUAUUGUUUGGAGUUUAGUCUGUUACUGUUGCUAUUUUUACCAUUUCUUCUCGGAGCAACUGUAACCACAUUAUUUCCUCAGGGAUUAAUUAAGUAUUCUGAUUCUGAUUGGUUCAGGAUGACCUGCCAUCAUCCAAUCACACAUCUGCUUACCUGUAUCUUUUGCUCGUUUCUCCUCCUCUUCUUUUCUCUUUUCUCUAAACUGAGCACCUGAUGGCUUUGAACUUUUCUUGUCCAUCUUGGUUUAAAUUUUGCACUCCAGUAUGAACACAAAUCCCCCAACUCGAGGAUCACCACAACAUAGCCAAAUAAACCUACACCUUUGUCCACAGAUUCACUUUGUCUAGGGUUUAUUUCUGGGAUUUCACACAACCCAGGAUUCAAAUCAUGAAUACAUAAUGGGCUUGGAUUUACAUCAUUAUGAAUGAAAUGUGCUCUAUUUGGAGGCAGCACUCCCCUUUCCACAGGUUGUGUGAGACUUUAAAUCAUCAAACUGUAAAAUAUAAAUUUUAAAUUGUUAUUGAUCCCUUUGCCUCUGGUCCUAAAGUGUAUAUUUAUUGUCUUACUCUUCUUAUAUUUAUUGUUUGUUUACUUGCACCGCUGUAACUGGAGCCUCGUCGUCUCGUCUCUCUAUAUGCUGGACUGUUUGUAGCGG